GUAGGUGAACCUGCGGAAGGAUCAUUAACACUGAUCACCUUAUCAAACCAAACCGUGAAUUGUUUUUUCUCCCUAUGCGUUACUACCUUUCUUGAAAAGGAGGGGCCGUCUAUGUAGUGAUAAUCGGAGUGGCGUGGUUGUUAACUCAGCCAUGUCAUUCGCUCGUAGGCUAUGCGUACCAUUUAGUUGAGUACCAACCCUUGUAACGCAUCGGUUCAUUUAUCCUAUUUCAACAUUUCCAUUAUGGUGU
rnacentral:misc_RNA from 1 species